rnacentral:tRNA from 1 species
GCCAGGGUAGCUCAGCCGGCAGAGCAGCUGAUUCGUAAUCAGCAGGUCGUGGGUUCGAAUCCCAUCCCUGGCUCCA